CUCGGAAUUCUGUAGUGAUACAGCAAGAGGCUGAGAAGCUGUAUGUGGAGCAAAAGGGCUGAGAUUCCUGUUGUGAACGGAGUGAAGUGCUGUUUGCCAAACUGACAGGGUCAGCUUAUGGCUGACCGGUGAGAAUCGUGUCAUCUACUCGCUUUGCAAUCGAAGACCAUUGUGAAGAUACUGUAGGAUUUGUUGUCUUCAUUGGGUAAACCCGGCACCUCCUGUCUGGCAGCGUGUAGCCUUUUGGCUCAAACAUCGAUCCCAAACCCCAAAGAAAUAGGGAGGCUGCAGCGUGAGUCCUUCGUGCAGCCCCCGCACUCCUUAAAUCAGAGAUCACUGACGAUACUGCAGUACCCCAUUUCUGCUGCGGCACGACGUGGGAUUUCUGAAGUCACGGCAGGUUUGGAGAAACGACAAAUCAUCUCCAGAAUGCGCUCCCUGAACAACCUGCCCCACAUGCAUGGGGCACAAGCCCCAUUUUGGGGGCAAUGACCCCCACUUGUGGGGCGCUACCCCCGCCCCCACUGUCACAGCUGUGCCCCGAGGACACCAUCACCCCACUGCACAUGGCCAUCAACUUCUCCCUGGACUUCACGCACCCCACGGUGACAUUGGCGUGGAGCGAAGUGGAGCAGGGGACAUGGGGGGGCUUGAGGGGACAUGGGGACAUGAGGGGACGUGUGGGGACACAGGGACAUGGGGGGACACGGGGACGUGGGGUUGAAGUGUGGGGUCAGAACUACAGACUACAGAGACAAGGUGACAUGCGGAGGUGAUGCAGGCAGGUGGGUUCUAGGGCCUGGCGCAUGCGUAGUGGGGUCUCAAGAGCUGUAAACUUAGGUGGAGAACUGCAGCUUCCACUAAUUUUUGUGGAAACAACAUAAUGGCCCACACGAACCUCAGAACUGCAGCAUGGCACAGUGUCUGCCUGUUUAGACCUGCCAGUGCCUGCAAUGGGGCCUUGCUAGGGCCUGCAAUAGGGCCUGCAAUGGGGCCUUGCUAGGGCCUGCAAUGGGGCCUUGCUAGGGCCUGCAAUGGGGCCUGCAAUGGGGCCUUGCUAGGGCCUGCAAUGGGGCCUUGCUCGGGCCUGCAAUGGGGCCUGCAAUGGGGCCUUGCUAGGGCCUGCAAUGGGGCCUUGCUGGGGCCCACAAUGGGGCCUGCAAUGGGGCCUUGCUAGGUCCUGCAAUGGCGCCUGCAAUGGGGCUUUGCUAGGGCCUGCAAUAGGGCCUGCAAUGGGGCCUUGCUAGGGCCUGCACAUGCGCCAGCUCCGAGACCCCACUUUGCGUGGGCCUGGGUAAUGGAGGGACUGGGAAGGAUUGGCUGUGACUGGGGGGACACUGGGAAAGUCUGGGAGGGGUAUUGGGGACACUGGGAGGAACUGGGGGGGACUGGGAGAGGUAACAGAGACACUGGGAGGGGUAAUGGGGGCACUGGGAUGGACUGGGAUGGCACUGGGGGGACUGGAAUGGGAUUGGGGGACGUGGGGGGGGACUGGGGGGCACUGCAAAGGGACUGGGAUGGGAAUGGAAGGGGAUUGGGGGGGCACUGGGAUGGGAAUGGGGGGUGCUGGGAAGGACUGCGGGGCACUGGAAGGGAAUUGGGGGGGGGGGGGACUGGGAGGGAUCUGGGGAACACUGGGAGGGAAUUGGGGGGGGCUGUGGGGGCACUGGGAGAGACUGGGAAGGACUGGGAGGGUAAGUGGGUGUAGUGGGGGGGCACUGGAAGGGAAUGGAGGGGGCUGGGAGAGAAAUGGGGGGCUGUGGGGACACUGGGAGGGGUUGGGGGUCACUGAGAGGAGGAAUGGAGGGCACUGGGAGGGACCUGGGAGGGAAAUGGAAGGCUGGGGGGGCACUGGGAGAGAAAUGAGGGGGGGGCUGUGGGGCACUGGAAGUGACUGGGAGGGUAAAUGGGGGCCUGGGGGACCACUGGGGGGACCCUACAGCAUUUCACUUCCCCCCACCCCCCCCCGAAAAUUCAUCCUUGCCCCCCCACACCUUGGGGGGCACACACACUCCACCCCCCCCCUAAAAAAUAUGGGGGGGGGGGUGUCUUUUAAAGGGCUAUCCCCCCCCUGCGAGACCACUAAAUCUGGGGGGGGGGGGGGGGGGGGGGGGCAUCUGUCUGUCCCGUUCUGCUGUGGGGGGCACCCCCAGAAUGGUGCCCCAUGCUUCCCCAAUUAACCCCCCCUUCCCCCCCUCCCCCCCCCCCACUGUACAAUAAGAGCUCUUUACUCUUCUAUGGAUGUCUCCAUAUAUUUUUUGGGGGGGAGGGACCCUCAAUUUGAGGGUCCCCAAAUGGAGGGGGGAGGGGGGGGAUAUAGAGGGGGGGGUGGUCACCGGGGGGGGCGGCGCCUCCACCAGCGCUCCAAAGCUUCACGCCAACCCCCCCCUCCCACCCCUGGGACCCCCAACCCCAUCCAACGGCCUCGAGGGGUCCCCCCCACACUUGUGGGGCGUGGAAGGACCUGAGGGGGGGGAAGAUAGGGGGGAGGGGGGUCACUGUGUGUCACCAGUGCGGCCCCACUGAACCCAUAAAGACCCCAGUGUGACCCCAACGCCCCAUAGAGACCCCAUUGACCCCACAGAGCCACAGAGACCCCAUAAUGCCCCAGAGACACCAUUGACCCCAUAGAGACCCCCCAAUGCCCCAUAAAGACCCCAAUGAGACCCCAGUGUGUCCCCAGUGUCCCCAUACAGACCCCAUUGUCCCCAGUGACUUCAGUGUGAUCUCAAUGUGCCCAUAGAGACCCCAUGGAGACCCCAAUGGCCCAUAAAGACCCCACUGACCCCAUAAAGACCCCAGUGUCCCACAGAGACCCCAAUGUGACCCCAGUGUCACCACUGAACCCCAUACAGACCCCAUUGUCUCCUGCGUCACCCAGUGUGACCUCACUGUCCCCAGGGAGCCCUAUAGAAACCCCAUUGUCCCCACAGACCCCAAUGUCCCCAUAGAGACCUCAGUGUGACCCCACUGUCUCCAAUGUGACCUCCAUGUCCCCAUACAGACCCCGCUGUUUUCAGAGUGACCUCAGUUUGAUCUCAGUGUCCCCAUAGAGACCCCACUGACACCCACAGAGACCCCAGCGUGACCUCAAUUUCCCCAUAGAGACCCGCUCUGCCCCCCACCCCAUAGCCCCCCCCAUACCAACAGCUGGAACUCAUCACUCAUCCUUCGCAGCUCCCGGCCAUAUUUCCGUGCUGCCCAUAGGACGGGGGGGGCAGAGCGGGAACGGCCUCGAAAUGUGGGGGGGGGUGGCAGCGGGGCUGGAACCAGAGCUGCCCCCCCAGGGGGAUUCGGGGGGGUCCCGGUGGCAGGGGCCAGGCAGGGGUGGGGGCUGCGGCUCCUCCGGGAACUCCUCAAUGCUAAACAUGGUCAGGGCAUGGUGGCCUGGAGGGAAGGGGGGGAGAGACCCCCAUGUUACCCCAAAAUCAGCCUCCCCCACCCCCAAAAUCCCACUCAGUGAGGCCGAAAAUGCCCCCCCCCCCCCCCCCCCAAUGAACGCCCGCCCCAAAAGAAUCCCUGAAGCACCUCCAGAAAACCCCAAAAUGUCUCUAAAUGAGGGCAAAAUGAACCUCAAAAUGACUCCCAAAGCACACAGUGACCCCCAAAGCGACCCACCCUCACCCCAACCCCCCCUCGCCCCAAACAACCCCCUAAGACGCCCAAAAUGAUCUAAAAAUCUCCCAAAAUGACCCGAAAAUCCCCGUCACCCCAAAAAUUCCCCCAAAAUCCCCCCAUAAGACACUCUG
ensembl:lncRNA